CCGCGUGGAGGAUGAAGGCCCUUGGGAUGUAAACUCCUUUCGAUCGAGACGAUAAUGACGGUACCGGAAGAAGAAGCACCGGCUAACUCUGUGC
rnacentral:rRNA from 1 species